rnacentral:rRNA from 1 species
UACGUAGGGCGCAAGCGUUAUCCGGAAUUAUUGGGCGUAAAGAGCUCGUAGGCGGUUUGUCGCGUCUGCUGUGAAAACCUCAGGCUCAACCUGGGGCUUGCAGUGGGUACGGGCAGACUAGAGUGCGGUAGGGGUGACUGGAAUUCCUGGUGUAGCGGUGGAAUGCGCAGAUAUCAGGAGGAACACCGAUGGCGAAGGCAGGUCACUGGGCCGCAACUGACGCUGAGGAGCGAAAGCAUGGGGAGCGAACAGG